UACGAAGGGGGCUAGCGUUGCUCGGAAUCACUGGGCGUAAAGGGUGCGUAGGCGGGUCUUUAAGUCAGGGGUGAAAUCCUGGAGCUCAACUCCAGAACUGCCUUUGAUACUGAAGAUCUUGAGUUCGGGAGAGGUGAGUGGAACUGCGAGUGUAGAGGUGAAAUUCGUAGAUAUUCGCAAGAACACCAGUGGCGAAGGCGGCCCGCUGGGCAGUGGCUGACGCUGAGGCGCGACAGCGUGGGGAGCAAACAGG
rnacentral:rRNA from 1 species